GAUGAAGAACGCAGCGAAAUGCGAUAAGUAAUGUGAAUUGCAGAAUUCAGUGAAUCAUCGAAUCUUUGAACGCACCUUGCACCCUUUGGCAUUCCGAAGGGUAUGCUCGUUUGAGUGUCAUUGUACUCUCACACUCCCAAUUGCUUUGGAUUGGGAGCGGUGGACUUGGGUGUUGCUGCUUGACUGAGGCUCACCUGAAAUAUGUUAGUGCACCUCUUGAUUGGACAUAGUACGGCGUGAUAAGUGUCUUCGCCGGCUCCUCGCAAAGAGGGUGGCCGAUCGGGAGCUCUGUUGCUUUAAACUGUCUUCGGACAAUCUUCUGGCGACUUGACCUCAAAUCGAGUAGGACUACCCGCUGAACUUAAGCAUAUCAAUAAGCGGAGGA
rnacentral:misc_RNA from 1 species